CAGGUAUAGAAGGUGUCAUUCUCAGGUAUAGAAGGUGUCAUUCUCAGGUAUAGAAGGUGUCAUUCUCAGGUAUAGAAGGUGUCAUUCUCAGGUAUAGAAGGUGUCAUUCUCAGGUAUAGAAGGUGUCA